AACGAACGCUGGCGGCGCGUCUUAAGCAUGCAAGUCGAACGGCAAGAGAGGAGCUUGCUUCUCUCCUAGAGUGGCGGACUGGUGAGGAACACGUGGGUAAUCUACCCUUAAGAUGGGGAUAGCUGCUAGAAAUAGCAGGUAAUACCGAAUACACUCGGCAUAGCACAAGAGAUGUUGAGGAAAGGAAGCUACGGCUUCGCUUGAGGAUGAGCUUGCGUCCCAUUAGCUAGUUGGUGAGGUAAAGGCCCACCAAGGCGACGAUGGGUAUCCGGCCUGAGAGGGUGAACGGACACAUUGGGACUGAGAUACGGCCCAAACUCCUACGGGAGGCAGCAGCUAAGAAUAUUCCGCAAUGGACGGAAGUCUGACGGAGCGACGCCGCGUGGAUGAAGAAGGCUGAAAAGUUGUAAAAUCCCUUUUGUUGAUGAAGAAUAAAGGGUGAGAGG
rnacentral:rRNA from 1 species